rnacentral:rRNA from 1 species
UGAGGAAUAUUGCGCAAUGGGGGCAACCCUGACGCAGCAACGCCGCGUGGGUGAAGAAGGCUUUCGGGUUGUAAAGCCCUGUCAGGUGGGAAGAACCCUUUACAGGUGAAUAGUCUGUAAAGCUGACGGUACCACCAAAGGAAGCACCGGCUAACUCCGUGCCAGCAGCCGCGGUAAGACGGAGGGUGCAAGCGUUGUUCGGAAUCACUGGGCGUAAAGCGCGUGUAGGCGGUUCGAUAAGUCGAGUGUGAAAGCCCGAGGCUUAACUUCGGAAGUGCAUUCGAAACUGUCGAGCUUGAGUACGGGGGAGGGAAGUGGAAUUCCUGGUGUAGAGGUGAAAUUCGUAGAUAUCAGGAGGAACACCGGUGGCGAAGGCGGCUUCCUGGACCGAUACUGACGCUGAGACGCGAAAGCGUGGGGAGCAAACA